rnacentral:rRNA from 1 species
CUACGGGGGGCUGCAGUGAGGAAUUUUGCGCAAUGGGGGCAACCCUGACGCAGCAACGCCGCGUGAGUGAAGAAGGCCCUUGGGUCGUAAAGCUCUGUCAAUGGGGAAGAAGUUACCUGGUAUUAAUAGUGCCUUGUAUUGACGGUACCCAUGAAGGAAGCACCGGCUAACUCCGUGCCAGCAGCCGCGGUAAUACGGGGGGUGCAUGCGUUAUUCGGAAUUAUUGGGCGUAAAGGGCACGCAGGCGGUCCUGUCAGUCAGAUGUGAAAGCCCAGGGCUCAACCCUGGACGUGCAUUUGAAACAGCAGGACUUGAGUACGGGAGAGGAAAGGGGAAUUCCUGGUGUAGAGGUGAAAUUCGUAGAUAUCAGGAGGAACACCGGUGGCGAAGGCGCCUUUCUGGACCGAUACUGACGCUGAGGUGCGAAGGCGUGGGUAGCGAACGGGAUUAGAUACCCGCGUAGUC